AGCAGCCGCCACGGUAAUACGGAGGAUCCAAGCGUUAUCCGGAAUCAUUGGGUUUAAAGGGUCCGUAGGCGGUCUUGUAAGUCAGUGGUGAAAGCCCAUCGCUCAACGGUGGAACGGCCAUUGAUACUGCAGGACUUGAAUUAUUGGGAAGUAACUAGAAUAUGUAGUGUAGCGGUGAAAUGCUUAGAGAUUACAUGGAAUACCAAUUGCGAAGGCAGGUUACUACCAAUUGAUUGACGCUGAUGGACGAAAGCGUGGGUAGCGAACAGGAUUAGAUACCCCGGUAGUCCCUGUCUCUUAUAC
rnacentral:rRNA from 1 species